rnacentral:lncRNA from 1 species
UGAUGUUUUAGUAACUAUACAGGUUGAAGAGUGUAGAUAUUCCUAAGAAAGAAGUUGAAAGACUUGCAACGAUCCUAAAAAUAGUAAGUCGGUUAAAAAUGCCCAUUCAUCUUCAAAAAAGAAGUAGGAAGAUGAAGAGGCCAUUGAAGUCAAGGUUAUAGCAUGCUUAAGAGUCUUGGCUACCAGAAGUAGAUGAGAAAUUAAGAUUUUUUUACAAG